rnacentral:lncRNA from 1 species
UCACCAACUCGUGCCCGGCCGGCGUUUGUGUGAAUUGAAUGUCGGGAGUUGAUGCCCAAAACCUUCGUCUACGUACAUACUUUUGUCGUUUAUUAUCGAUGUGCGUGUUUCGUGGAAACUAUUCGGCGAUGAUGCGUAUGAAAACUAUCGUGAUUCGUGCGUAUUAAUUUGUCACUUGAAUCGUAUGAUGGCAGCCCUUUGUGGCCUAAUUUUCUCGAAAUGUCGCAUCGUUCUCGGCGCACGAGUGAAUUGAAUCGAGGCAAUUGAUCCCCCAAACUUUGAUUGAUGUUCGUAGUUUUCAGUGUUUCGGGAUUCGGGUAUACCCUAGUGAACUUCUCCAUUCUGCAAUUCGUGCGGGAUUUUCUCCAUUGCUCACUCACUGAUCGGUCGCCCGGGUUUUCGGGAGUGAUCUUGUUCCUCGUGUGUGGUUAGUUGGUGUUGUUUAUUCGAAGUUUUCAAACAAGGAUGUUAUAAAUCAUUGAGUGGGUGUCUUAUUUUGAUAAAUAUUCGUGUUGAAGACAUUACUUCCGCAAAUGCUGUCAAGCGUAAGUAAUUU